UAGGGAAUCUUCCACAAAUGGGCGCAAGCCUGAUGGAGCAACACCGCGUGAGUGAAGAAGGGUUUCGGCUCGUAAAGCUCUGUUGUUAAAGAAGAACACGUAUGAGAGUAACUGUUCAUACGUUGACGGUAUUUAACCAGAAAGUCACGGCUAACUACGUGCCAC
rnacentral:rRNA from 1 species